rnacentral:rRNA from 1 species
AUUGAACGCUGGCGGCAGGCCUAACACAUGCAAGUCGAACGAGUGGCGGACGGGUGAGUAAUGUCUGGGAAACUGCCUGAUGGAGGGGGAUAACUAGUGGAAACGGUAGCUAAUACCGCAUACCAUCAGAUGUGCCCAGAUGGGAGUAGCUUGUUGGGGGGGUAACGGCUCACCAAGGCGACGAUCCCUAGCUGGUCUGAGAGGAUGACAAGCCACACUGGAACUGAGACACGGUCCAGACUCCUACGGGAGGCAGCAGUGGGGAAUAUUGCGCAAUGGGCGCAAGCCUGAUGCAGCCAUGCCGCGUGUAUGAAGAAGGCCUUCGGGUUGUAAAGUACUUGCAGCGGGGAGGCGUUACCCGAAGAGGAAGCACCGGCUAACUCCGUGCCAGCAGCCGCGGUAAUAC